rnacentral:rRNA from 1 species
GACGAACGCUGGCGGCGUGCUUAACACAUGCAAGUCGAACGGUAAGGCCCUUCGGGGUACACGAGUGGCGAACGGGUGAGUAACACGUGGGUGAUCUGCCCUGCACUUCGGGAUAAGCCUGGGAAACUGGGUCUAAUACCGGAUAGGACCACUGCCUGCAUGGGUGGUGGUGGAAAGCUUUUGCGGUGGGGGAUGGGCCCGCGGCCUAUCAGCUUGUUGGUGGGGUGAUGGCCUACCAAGGCGACGACGGGUAGCCGGCCGGAGAGGGUGACCGGCCACACUGGGACUGAGGUACGGCCCAGACUCCUACGGGAGGCAGCAGUGGGGAAUAUUGCACAAUGGGCGCAAGCCUGAUGCAGCGACGCCGCGUGAGGGAUGACGGCCUUCGGGUUGUAAACCUCUUUCAGCACCGACGAAGCGCAAGUGACGGUAGGUGCAGAAGAAGGACCGGCCAACUACGUGCCAGCCGCCGCAGUAA